GCAAAGUUGAAGAGUUGCAGGCUUGGCCACUUCUUCUUGACAAUGAGGCGCUGGCAGAAAACACUGAAGAACACAGUCAUGCCUUUAGCAUCUAGUGGAGCGCCUACCCUACUUCUGAGUCACCACCACAAGGAGAACUUUUGAAGGUCGGUUUCUGUUUCCUUUGCUGCUCAUAACGACGUGCCAUGUGCAGGGCGGCUGUGCUCAGAAGUGGGGACGCCAGCCAGGGUUUCCCCAGCAACACGCAGCCUUUCCAUGCAUCUUGGAAGGGGCAGAAUGGGUUCCUCACACCCACUCUGUGUGGUCCUUGACAGCCCUAUU